UUCUAAGAGUGUUCCACACAGUUUCUCAGAGAGUCUCCAGAAGGACUGAGUCCCAGUUGCCCACAGGUUUUUUAUGGCAGUGAUCACCCUCUCUCAAAUUGAACUCCUCAAUACGAGUGGCAUAUUUGAAAACAAGCACUGUCCCACGAAUAAACUUUGGAGUGCAGGACACAGCAAUACAGAGGCCUCUGUCACCUGGAGAAUGCCAGUUGGUUGCUUCUAAAACCCUUGCAGGAGAUGGCUGGACUCUCUAAGUAGAAACAAAACUGGCUUCCUGAACUGCGAGGCUGAAGAACAGAGCCC
rnacentral:lncRNA from 10 species